UGUUAACUUGACUUCUUCUCAAAGGUAAUUGACAUCACCUACAAGGGAAGAAAUCAGAGGAACUUGGAGGAAUGAAAAGCUAGCCUGGCAGUGACCAUUAACAGGGAGGCAGACAAUCUGGACACCUGCAAUUCUGAAGUCUCAGAAAAAGGUCUGACUGAUAAAGAAAAAUUCAAGGCAAGCCAUGUGACCUCCGUGGGCCUCAAUUUCUUCACCUGUAAGAUGGGCAUGAUAAAAUGAGGCAAGGCAUGUGUCGCUGCUGGGACAGGCACCCUGGAGACCCUCAGGAAAUGAUCAAGUGUGUGGGCGCUGUGUGACCUGGAUAAAGAAUCCGAGGUGCAGAGAGAGGGGACUGCUGGAAGGAACACAGCCAGAUCCACAAGAGCCUUCAUUUGGACGAUAAAUAUUCACUGAAGAUCUGCCACAUGUCAGGCCCCAGGCCAGGGAGCAUUUUAGUCCCUGAGGCCCUGCCCUUGGACCCCUGGGGUCACAGCUGGGAGCAAGGAUCCAUCUGAGAGUGGCUCAGGACAAGACUCAUCUCCAGCCCCAACUGGGAGACUUGCUCUCUGGCUGAUGGUAAAGUCUACCCACAGCGAGCAGAGCCAGGGAGCUGGGGAGGGAGGAUGUCUUUGCAGGCCACUGGGAUCCCUGCACUGAGGCCAUGGGGCCAGGGUCUUUCUGCUGUCUCCCCUCCCUGCCCAGUUCCCACCCCCCUGACUGGGGGACAGUGCUCCAGGCAGCUGGAAUGGGACACGGUUUGUGUGGCAGCGAGGUAUCCAGGUUCUCCUCCUUCCGGAUCUAAGGCAUGCAAUGUGAGCAGGAGCGAACGCUUCACUGUGUGGGGCCACCGGCUUUGGAGUUGCUUGUGGCUGCAGUGUAACCCAGCGUCUCCUGACUGAUGUUACAGAUUCUGCAGGAGGGGCAAAUGCAGGCAGCAAGGGCCUGCAGCCCUGAAAUUAACAAGAUUCAAACCCAGGUCUGCUUGACUAGGAAGGCUGGCCCUCUCCGUGGUGCCAGGAAAACUCUUUGGAGAAGAUGCCCUUCUCUCUGCCUGCGUGAAUCUUCUUUGUCCACAAAGGCCUGCUCCAUCAUCCCUCCUCCAGGAAGCUUUUACUGACUGUCCCCAGGCCCAGCCAGGGUGUCUGGGGGUGCUGGAGAGACCCACAGAGCCUUGAUCACCGUGGCUGGCCCAUAAGUGUGGCUACUGAGUCCCAGUCUGGAGGCACAGCUGGACUUCCCCAGAGAGAACUGAGGCAUUGUGGGAAUUUCCCAGCAGUGACCCCAGGACCCUGACUGCCCAGAAUGGCUCCAAGUUGACAUAUCUGGGGACCGUCACCAAGACUCCUGUGUCCAUAUUGAACUUGGUAAACAUGAUGACCCUGGAGAUGUGCCCUCAGCAUUAUAACCGCACUCUUGGCCCCUCCAGAAUUCAGAACCACUUUGGGAGUCCACCCUGAAGCCCAGUUCUUUUGAAAAGGAGGAGGGCCAGGCGUGGUGGCUCAAGCCUGUAAUCCCAGCACUUUGGGAGGCCAAGACGGGCGGAUCAUGAGGUCAGGAGAUCGAGACCAUCCUGGCUAA